CAAAAACACAAGAAAACCUGAAGCGACGUUUGCAGACAAGCCAGCCUGAAAUCCACGGAAAGUGUUUUUGGAGCUGUUGGAAGAUGAAGCCACCUCAGCUUUGGAAACCUUACUCAUGCUGUGGUUGUGACUUUGGCUGAAGCUGAGAGUGAGGUUCAGUGCUACACAGCCUUGGGAAAAGCUCUGGAUCUUAAUCAGGACCCGGUUGGAAUCCUCCAUAACUUUUAUCUGGGAAACCGGGGACUGAUGGAUCUGAGGGGACAGAGAAAGUCAUCAAAGUGGCUGAGGCACAAAGGGCUUCAGGAAAUAUUUCUCUCACACUCUUGGAUGGAGCCGCUGGAUAAAAGGUGCAGAUCCUCACCUUCUCAAUGGAACUCUCAGUGAGGUUUUGGUCAGCCUGUCUGCAGGGGUUCAUCAUGCUGGAUGUAAACUGGAUGUUGGUGAGCUGUGCUGUGUUAUCAAGAGCUUGAACAUCUACAGAGGAAAGUCACAGAAAUUCUAAGGAAAGAUUCUAAGAUAAGAAGUUCUGCUCCAAACUGAUUUAGAGGAAAGAAACGUCUUUGCUUCCCUUAUCUUGGAGGUUUCAGUUUUAUUGCUGAAAAUAACAAAUAGCAGCUAAUUCCACUAUUAUUUAACCAUUUCUCAUCAUGUUUAUAAUAUAUUGAUGUAACAAUUAACAACAUUCAGUAAUUAGAUACCUGUAUCUGUACCUCAAAGCUAGAGCAACAGUCAACUCACCAGUUUGGAGUAACAUGAGAAGAGUUUCCCCUUUCUGUUCACAUGCAGUGGAGGAGAUGCUGUGAUGCUGCAGUCCACCCGACUCUGUCCUGUUUCUACUAGCUUCCCAACAAUGAAGAAGCGCUGAUCCUCUGCUCACAGAAACCCAGAACAUCUGGUUUGUCUCAAAGUCUGCUGACCAGUAAACAGAGAUGGAGGUUCUGGAGCUGCCAGCCGGCCAUGAGCCCGAGGUGCUGUCAGGAGCUGGGAGGGUGUUCAGGAGGAGACAGAAGACUUCAUUAUUCAGAUUUAAACAGACUUUUUUUGGAAAAUCAUUCUAUAAUGUACAAAAAAUGCAUUUUUGAUUAAGUUGAAGUCUCAGUUUUGGACCCUUCAAAAUAAAAGUCUAUCGCAAUGGA